UUAGAUAGUUGGUGAGGUAAUGGCUCACCAAGUCUACGAUCGUUAGCUGAUCUGAGAGGAUGAUCAGCCAGACUGGAACUGAGACACGGUCCAGACUCCUACGGGAGGCAGCAGUAAGGAAUCUUCCACAAUGGACGAAAGUCUGAUGGAGCAACUCCGCGUGCAGGAUGAAGGCCUUCGGGUUGUAAACUGCUUUUAUGAGUGAAGAAUAUGACGGUAACUCAUGAAUAAGGGUCGGCUAACUACGUGCCAGCAGCCGCGGUCAUACGUAGGACCCAAGCGUUAUCCGGAUUUACUGGGCGUAAAGAGUUGCGUAGGUGGUCUGUAAAGUGAAUAGUGAAAUCUGGUGGCUCAACCACUCAGGCUAUUAUUCAAACUCACAGACUCGAGAAUGGUAGAGGUAACUGGAAUUUCUUGUGUAGGAGUGAAAUCCGUAGAUAUAAGAAGGAACACCAAUGGCGUAGGCAGGUUACUGGACCAUUUCUGACACUGAGGCACGAAAGCGUGGGGAGCGAACCGGAUUAGAUACCCGGGUAGUCCACGCCGUAAACUAUUGAUGCUAGCUGUUGGAGGUAUCGACCCCUUCAGUAGCGAAGCUAACGCGUUAAGCAUCCCGCCUGUGGAGUACGAGCGCAAGCUUAAAACAUAAAGGAAUUGACGGGGACCCGCACAAGCGGUGGAUCGUGUUCUUUAAUUCGAUGCUAAACGAAAAACCUUACCAGGGCUUGACAUCCCUUGAAUUUCGUCGAAAGAUGAGAGUGCUUUAUUGAGCAAGGUGACAGGUGUUGCAUGGCCGUCGUCAGCUCGUGUCGUGAGAUGUUUGGUUAAGUCCAUCAACGAGCGCAACCCAUGUGAUUAGUUGUAUUUUUCUAAUCAGACUGCCCCGGUAACGGGGAGGAAGGGGGGGAUGAUGUCAGGUCAGUAUUACCCUUAUGUCCUGGGCUAGAAACACGAUACAAUGGUUAGUACAAUGCGCAGCAAAGCCGCGAGGUGGAGCAAAUCGCAUCAAAGCUAAUCCCAGUUCGGAUUGGAGGCUGAAACUCGCCUCCAUGAAGUCGGAAUCGCUAGUAAUCGCAAAUCAGCAAGUUGCGGUGAAUACGUUCCCGGGUCUUGUACACACCGCCCGUCAAACCAUGAAAGUGACCAACACCCGAAGUCCGAUUCGUCGGCCUAAGGUGGGGGGCAUGAUUGGGGUUAAGUCGUAACAAGGUAUCCGUAGCGGGAGCUGCGGAUG
rnacentral:rRNA from 1 species